AAAAUGGACGCGUGGGAGUUCUCGGAAACGUUUCCAAUAAAUUCGACACACAACACACGCAGUUGGCAGAAAAUACCUCGAUGUCUUUGCAAGAAAAUAGUAAAAAUUUGAAGGACGCAAAAUGGUUGCUGAAGAUCAACGAACUUGAAAAGGCGUCGGAACUCGUUGGUUUCGUGGCGGUGGGACCCGAGCUACCAAUCCUGGACCAGAAGUUACAACGGAAGGUGCAACGGUGGUCCACGAUCGAACGGGUGGGGAUUUCACACGGUUCCUGGAGGAAUUUCGGGAUCUUCGAGUAUCCUGCGUUGAGUGAUCUAGUCAGAGAUCGGACGCAAAGUGCUGCGGUGCUCAUCCAGCGAAUCGGCUCAGAUUUCGCAUCUCCGGUGACACGAAUCUUUUUCACGAAUCUCUUUGUCAGAAUUUUUCUGAUUUUUCGACAUUUCGAUUCGAAUUAGUACAACGAUCUUGUAUCGUUGGAAAGUGAAUAAAGAUUUUCUCUACGGUGUCGCAGUGAUCUUUGUGUGAACGAUAAAAAAUGCCUCAACCAGCUCACGAGACAAAAAACAUCCUAACGACCUACUUCAUUCUGAUUCUUCUGCUGAUUUGUCUGUGGCUGCUGUAUUCAGGAUUGUUUUAACUUUCGAGUACAUUCCUCGUCAUGGAGUGAAGAAGGACGAAGCACCCGUUCGUCAACCACCAGAUAUCUCCAGGAUGUGACCCGCCCAUUUUCUACGCCGAGUUAUAAAAGAAGAAAUCAAAAUGAACGAAACAAUCAUCCGUGUUUCAGCAGUUUUGAACGAUCUUCAUAAUUUCCUCCAGUUUUUCCGUACGACUUCGCACAUACCGCGAUCAUGAUCAUUGACAAGGAUGUAGUGCUAUUUUUAAUAAACACAGAGAACAAAAAUAACGUAGUUUCAACAGAGGCAGAAACGAGAUCGCGGAGCAUGAGGUUCUCGUAAAUUAGAAAAAUUAUAACGGAGAGCGCGUGUAAUGUUGCUCUGGUAAAUGUAGCGAAAUGUUUUUGUUCGGCGCCAUUUGCAACGGAAAAAAUUGCGCAUUGGCGUAACUGGGAGUUGUAGGAAUUCCUGUGGGAUGGGAUGUUUGAGAAUUUGGGAUUUGGGGA